UACGUAGGGCGCAAGCGUUGUCCGGAAUUAUUGGGCGUAAAGAGCUCGUAGGCGGUUUGUCGCGUCUGCCGUGAAAACCCGAGGCUUAACCUCGUGGCUUGCGGUGGAUACGGGCAGACUAGAGGUAGGUAGGGGAGAAUGGAAUUCCCGGUGUAGCGGUGAAAUGCGCAGAUAUCGGGAGGAACACCGGUGGCGAAGGCGGUUCUCUGGGCCUGUACUGACGCUGAGGCGCGAAGGCGUGGGGAGCGAACGGG
rnacentral:rRNA from 1 species